rnacentral:rRNA from 1 species
AGACAAGGAGACUUAUAAAUGAAUCGGUAAAAAGGACAGUUAUAAACUUACGAAAGUUAAAUCACUCCAUGAAGAGGUAGAAUUCACACAUGGUUUAUCUUACACAAGACUUUAAAUUUAGAAGCUGUGAAAUUACUAGCCAAAACCAGGAUUAGAUACCCUGCUAUUAGUAACGUAAAUUUUUUAAUACCACCAGGGAAUUACAGAGUUUCCUCUGAAACCCAAAGAGCUUGGCGGUACCUCAAACCCCAUUAGGGGAACCUGUUCCAUAAUCGAUAAUCCGCGCAGGACCUUACUUUUCUUUAUUUAGUUUGUAUACCGUCGUCGUCAGACAACUUUUAAGAAGCUAAUAGUUCUCCACAAUAAACUAUUUAUAGACGUCAGAUCAAGGUGCAGCCAAUAGAAAAGAGAGAAAUGGGUUACAAUUUUUAAUUUAGAAUAAUGGAACUAGGACUGAAAUACCCUAGGGAAGGCGGACUUAAAAGUAAUUCUAGUUAGAACAAAAAAAUGAAUACGGCUCUGAGGUGUGCACACAUCGCCCGUCGCUCUCGCUGAAAAGU